AGCAUUCCAGUUUCUCCAUACUGGAAUCAUGUCUAGCUUUUAUAUUUCAGACCACCACUUGGGCCGACACCUCCAGCUUGUGUUUUGCUGCUUGGAUUUGUCUGAAAUGAAAGCUAAACCUUUCCCUGGGAUGGCCAAAGGGACCUGGGAGAGCCAGUUCUCAGCACAGAGUGCUCCUGGAAGCAGCUGAUUCUCCUGGGCAGGAUGUGUUGUUGGCCAGGGGAGCAGCAUUUUGCAGAAAGCUGCUCCAGACCCUCAUUCCCAAGUGUUUUUCCAGAGACUCAAAGGACCAGCUCAGUUCAGAUGUUUCCUCUCUCCAGGGCAGCACAAGAAAAAGGAGAAGUGGAAUUGAGGUUUUCACCUGGUAAAAAAAACCAAAAAACAAAGAGGAGGGAAAGCACGUGGCUUCUCCAGUUUGAAA